CGGACGGGUGAGUAAUGUCUGGGAAACUGCCUGAUGGAGGGGGAUAACUACUGGAAACGGUAGCUAAUACCGCAUAAUGUCGCAAGACCAAAGAGGGGGACCUUCGGGCCUCCUGCCAUCGGAUGUGCCCAGAUGGGAUUAGCUUGUUGGUGGGGUAACGGCUCACCAAGGCGACGAUCCCUAGCUGGUCUGAGAGGAUGACCAGCCACACUGGAACUGAGACACGGUCCAGACUCCUACGGGAGGCAGCAUG
rnacentral:rRNA from 1 species